rnacentral:lncRNA from 12 species
GGGGGGGGGGGGGGGGGGGGGGGGGGGGGGGGGGGGGGGGGGGGGGGGGGGGGGGGGGGGGGGAGCCCAGUUUGGGGAUUCCAGAGGGAUUUGAGCCCAGUUCAGGAAUUCCAGAGGGAUUUGAGCCCAGUUUGGGAAUUCCAGAGGGACUGGAGCCCAGUUUGGGGAUUCCAGAGGGAGUGGAGCCCAGUUUGGGAAUUCCAGAGGGAUUUGAGCCCAGUUCAGGGAUUCCAGAGGGAUUUGAGGCAGGAGCAGAGUGAGGAAAACACGGCAGGAAUAUCAGCGAACAUCAGGAAUAUCGGAAAUCCGAUUGGAAAGAGCUCGGACACGGCUGGAGCCGCACUCCCAGUGCUCCCAGUCCAUCCCAGUGGCUCCACACUGAUCCCUCUCCCAGCGAGGGCAGCGGGGCCUGAGGGUGUCCAGAGGGGUCACUCUGUGUCCAGCUGGACACUCUGGGCUCUCCAGAGGGGUCACUCUGUGUCCGGCUGGACAUCCUGGGGCUCCUCUGGGCUGUCCAGAGGGGUCACUCUGUGUCCAGCUGGACACUCUGGGCUGUCCAGAGGGGUCACUCUGUGUCCAGCUGGGCUCUCCGGCCGUGCCUCGUCCAUGCCAAAGUCACUCCAGUAGGGGAAGCUCUCCAGGCCAGCACAGCUGGAAAAGAGCAGGAAAAGGGAUCCAGGGAAUGUCAGGAUUUUGUGAAAGCACCGAGCCCUGGAGCUGGAACAGGGGGAACAUUCCCAUCAUUGCCAGGGACAUCCCAGCACCCCUGCCUGGGAUCCUCUGGGAUCCAGAGAGGAGCUGGGAAUGCCCUGGGAUCCACAAAAGAGAGAUAGGAAUGCCGUGGGAUCCACAAAAAGGAGCUGGGGAUGCCCUGGGAUCCACAAAAAGGAGCUGGGGAUGCCCUGGGAUCCACAAAAAGGAGCUGGGGAUGCCCUGGGAUCCACAAAAAGGAGC